GGUGAGGUGUCCGAGUGGCCGAAGGAGCACGCUUGGAAAGCGUGUAAGUCGUAAGGCUUCGAGGGUUCGAAUCCCUCCCUCACCGCCA
rnacentral:tRNA from 1 species